AAACGAUGGAUGCCCGCUGUUAGCGCCUGGCGUUAGCGGCUAAGCGAAAGCAUUAAGCAUCCCACCUGGGGAGUACGCCGGCAACGGUGAAACUCAAAGGAAUUGACGGGGGCCCGCACAAGCGGAGGAACAUGUGGUUUAAUUCGAUGAUACGCGAGGAACCUUACCCGGGCUUGAAUUGCAGACGCAGGAUACAGAGAUGUUGACUCCCUUCGGGGCGUCUGUGAAGGUGCUGCAUGGCUGUCGUCAG
rnacentral:rRNA from 1 species